ensembl:lncRNA
AGGGGCUCUACCAGCGACACAGACUCUACCUACUGAGCUACACAGACUCUACCUACUGAGCUACAGGGGCUCUACCAGCGACACAGGCUCUACCUACUGAGCAACACAGGCUCAACCUACUGAGCUACACAGACUCUACCUACUGAGCUACACAGACUCUACCUACUGAGCUACACAGACUCUACCUACUGAGCUACAGGGGCUCUACCAGCGACACAGACUCUACCUACUGAGCUACACAGGCUCAACCUACUGAGCUACAGGGGCUCUACCAGUGACACAGGCUCAACCUACUGAGCUACAGAGGCUCUACCAGACCGGUCUGGAGAGGGUGAGAGAACAUGAAAGGCCCAGAGCUCCGAGGGGUCACCCAUCACAGUUCAACAACAGAAGGAACACAAUUGUUGAUAAAGUGCUGGGGGUUUGUUACCCCAUACAAACAAGAUAAAGCAAUGUCUCAUGUUGAAGGAUGCCCUUCAACCCCCACAUCCCCUUAACUGCCACUCCUCCCUCCAACACCUCCUCCUCCCAGGUAUGUUACCCCAUACAAACAAGAUAAAGCAAUGUCUCAUGUUGAAGGAUGCUCUUCAACCCCACAUCCCCUUAACUGCCACUCCUCCCUCCUUCAACACCUCCUCCUCUCUCUCUCCUCCCAGGUAUGUUACCCCAUACAAACAAGAUAAA